GCAAACCAUAAAUAUACUGACUUUUCUUACAGAUAAAAGAGAAACUAAAGGGGUGUGCCCAGUAUCACCAGCCGUUAAGAUAUAAAACAGAAUUUUCUGUACCCAUUCUCUUCACAUAACAGCAGGCUAAAUUUGCCAAACCAUGUAGUAAGGAAAGACGUGCUUCUGAGAUUAAACGAAAUCAUUUUUAUGAACCACUGCCCAAGUCACUCAAGGGAAAGGAUUAAUGCCAGAUGGUACCAGCAGAUUUACUUGCAAAGGAAAGACAAUUUUGCAUUACAUGGGAACCAGCACAUUUUCUGAAUACACAGUUGUGGCUGAUAUCUCUGUU
rnacentral:lncRNA from 1 species